UUUCCUCCAAUUGAGAGAGAAUCUGAGGA
rnacentral:piRNA from 2 species